rnacentral:rRNA from 1 species
GUAGCGGCGAGCGAACGGGGAGCAGCCCAGAGUCUGAAUCAGCUUGUGUGUUAGUGGAACGGUCUGGAAAGUCCGACGGUACAGGGUGAUAGUCCCGUACACCAAAAUGCACAGGUUGUGAACUCGAAGAGUAGGGCGGGACACGUGGUAUCCUGUCUGAAUAUGGGGGGACCAUCCUCCAAGGCUAAAUACUCCUGACUGACCGAUAGUGAACCAGUACCGUGAGGGAAAGGCGAAAAGAACCCCGGCGAGGGGAGUGAAAAAGAACCUGAAACCGUGUACGUACAAGCAGUGGGAGCACCUUCGGGUGUGACUGCGUACCUUUUGUAUAAUGGGUCAGCGACUUAUAUUCUGUAGCAAGGUUAACCGUAUAGGGGAGCCGCAGGGAAACCGAGUCUUAACUGGGCGUUAAGUUGCAGGGUAUAGACCCGAAACCCGGUGAUCUAGCCAUGGGCAGGUUGAAGGUUGGGUAACACUAACUGGAGGACCGAACCGACUAAUGUUGAAAAAUUAGCGGAUGACUUGUGGCUGGGGGUGAAAGGCCAAUCAAACCGGGAGAUAGCUGGUUCUCCCCGAAAGCU